rnacentral:lncRNA from 1 species
UUCUUAAGUGAUCUGGUCCCCUCUUACCUCUCUGACCCCAUUGCUCUGCUCCAUCAUCCCAGGCUCCUCACGCUUCUGACAUACAAUAGGCAUAUUCCCAAAUUCUGUCUUCCAAGAUUUUGCACUUCUGUUUUCCCUGUCUGAGAUGCUCUUCCUCAAGGUAUCUUCAUUUUUAUCUCCCUCACUUUCUUCCUCUUUUUGCUAAAAUUUCAUUUUCUCAGGGGGAACUUCUCUGAUAAUCUUGUUUAUAUUUGUCAUCCUUGCCCCUACAUUCCAUAUCCCCUUCUGUGCUUAACUUUUUCUCCUUAGCAUUUUUCCAAUUGGAUCUAAUAUCUACUGCUGAUAUAACCUAUCUAUACAUAGAUAGGUUUCAGAAGACUGAAACCUCCUUGAGAAGGUAUUUAUUUAUUUGUUCAUUUCUAUAUAACCAGAGCCUGGACUAAUCCCUGGCUCAUAGUAAAAUGCCCAAUUACCUUUCAUUAAAGGAAGAAAUUGCUAAGACAUCUAUUGGCAGCCCCAUGUUGGCUUUAAGCGGUUUAUCAGUUCACCAAUGUUUUCCAUAAUACAGGAUUCUCAACUUUCCUUUUUCUUUCUCUCUCUCUCUCUCCCUUGUCAAAAUCAGCUCCUUUACAUGGCCUAAGCAAAGCAGUUUAGAGAUGGUUUGUGGUUCGAAGAUUCCUCUGGAUUCUCACCCUCAACUCCAAGUAGGUUUUUCUUCAAAGAAAAGAUCAUGCUCUCCCUAAGAAAAACAAAUCUUUUCUACUUUUUUGCAUAGUAUGAAACAUUAAAUAUAAUUAGCUAGUUAAGAAAGUUGAACCAAGUCAAACAAUAGUGAGAAGUAAGGAUUAUAUUAAUUUCCACAUUCCAGAUGAGGCCUCUAAAUACAUUUCUCUUUCUAAAAAAGUCUUUCUACACACAUGUUUUAGAAAAGCAAGGAAUAGCCCUUCACAAUAUUUUAUUUCCUGGGAAUAGCACAUUAAAUGAGAUCAUACUGAAUAACAUUAACCAUGAUACUUUAAAUAAAAUCACUAGUGGAAGAUAUUUCAACAGAGAAUUGAAACUCAUUCACAGAGACUAGACUAUGCAAAAAUAAUGUUAGAAUGAUUUGAGAGCAGAUAGGCAGCGUCUAAGUGGAUUUAACAAAUGGUAUUAAAUUGUGAGGUGUUGUUAAUAUCACACAAGCUAGAGACCCAAAGCAAAUGGAUUUUAGAGAACCAGAAUACAGAUAGGAAAUUUACAAUUCAACAUGGACAAAAUGCAGAUAAAACUGAGGGAUAAAAGUCAUACAAAUGGCAUCUAUUUAAAAAAUAGUUCAUAGAAUAUAUUAAUUCCAGGGGAGUCUUAAAAAUGAUAACAUUAUAGUGAAAUAGAAACGAAUUUUCAAUGAAAGCGCUCUGUAUGGUAAGAAAAAAAGGACAUUUCUGCCUAUCAAGAUUUCAAAACUAAAUGCCCAUUCAAUUUGUCUGAUGAAACAUGUCUCAUAGAAUAGCAUUCACAUCAAUUAAGAAAAAAGUGGAAAUAAUACAGAAAGUCUGUACUAAAAGAGAUUAUGAGUGCAUCAACUGCACAGAGGCUGGUGUGAGCUGCAUCCUCCUGACUGUGUGUGUUUUGCGCACAACACAGUCAUCCAUGGUGCUCUCCUGACUUGCUCUCUUCCGAGCCCCUAUUACUGGCUCUCCUCUGUUCUUCCAGUAGUGUUGGCUCAUUCCAGUCUCAAAACUUUCUACCUGCUCUUUUCUCUCUGCCAAGAAUGUGUUUCAUUUUUGUCCCUGCUUUUCUCUUUGCUUGGAGGGUUCUUUCCGUAAUAAUUCAAUGUACUUUUUCCAUGACACCUUUCUCAUCAUUCUGUCUAAAACUACAUUACGUCCUAUCCCUCUUCCUGAUUUAUUUUUCUCCUGAGUCCUUUUUAACAAUAUAACAUACUGUAUAUUUUAUCUUAUAAACUUUAGAAUGAAGCCUUCACUGAGAUAGAAAUUUUAGUCUGUUUUGUUCACUGAUAAGCAAUGAAUUGGCAUAUAAUAGUGUUUAGUUAAUAGCUGUGGAAUGAAUACAUUAAUCUUAUGAAGGUAAAUUUAGUCUGCGCUACUUGAUAAAUCAACACAGAAAGGGUUGAACUGACUGUUAGAAAUUCUGGGUCAUAGUUCCUGGUCUUUCACUUACUGGUGUUGCAGUGGACAAAACUAUUUUCCACAUUCGUGAAAUGAGGAUGAUACCCAGACUACCUCCAAGAUGUUAGGAGGAACAGAUGUAUCUGUAAAGAAGGUAGAUUACUGACACUAUUUAACCUACAUUUAAAUUAAAUAUCAGAUUAUAUCAUUGAUUUGCAUAUUUCUUACUUAUUAUCCUGCUGAGGAUACUUCAUAUAUUCCCAUCAAAAUUAUUCAUGGUCAGUAGAGGUUUUCUGGUAAGGUGACAUUUUUUUUCUAUCAGAGACCAUCUUCAAACAAGCUGGCAAACACAAUUCCUUAUAUAAGGGGGAGCCCUGGACCACAGUUCUUCCUGCAACCGUGGUUCUUUAACAGGUGGAUUUUGACUCCCAUUUGGCAAUACCUCCAAAUGUUUUUGCUCACCUUGGCUGGGAGGGAAGGGUGGUGGUGCAGUUGGCAUCUAGUGAGUAGAAGCCAGGAAUGCUGCUAAACAUCCCACACUGCACUUAAUGGUCUCCAACAACAAAUGAUUAUCCAGUCUAAAUUUCUCUUAAAAGUUUCUGGAACUAGAUAAUUAGCUACUUCCAUAAUCAUCUCCCUGGAUUUUUAUGAAUCACAUGCUGAGGUUCUCUGAUAGAAUAGCCUGGCAGUGGUAGUUUGGAAGCCUUAUGAGAAGCUGGAAUGUGUCAAGGAGUAUGUUGGUACUAGCAAGUAGAGAGACAAAAAAGAACAUUUUCAUGUAUAUUUAUUGAAAUGCAAGCUAAUAUAAUUUUUAAAAAUUAGUAAAUUUUAUCUUGUAUUAUGACUUUCAUACAGUGCAAGAAAAAUGUCACAUACUUUUGAUUUCUCAAGUCUUCUUCAAAGCCUAAAAUACAGAAAAUGUCAUGGUAUGUCAAUCUUUUAAAUGGGAAUUGUGGGACAAAACCGAGGUUUACUUUAUUAAACAUGAUUUUCAUAUUAAAAUUAUCAUUCUAGACUACUACAAAUGCAUUAUCUGAUGAUAUAUGAGUUAUAAUUAUUUCAGUGGCCUCAAUUCCAUUCUACUAGAAUAACAAUUAUUUCUAAAUGUCCUAAUAACAAACUAGAUUCGAUUUUGGACCAGAAUAAAUGUGGGAAGAAUGACAAAUUUAGAUGGAAAAUUCAGAGAAUCUGAAUUAUAUAAAUUGAUAUUUAUAUAUUAAACUGAAAACAACUGCAGGAACAAUGUACUCUGAGUAAACACUGUCACUUAGUAAUUCUGGGUAUGAAGAAGGCUUCUCUUCAUAGAAACCCAAACCGCAAGAUUUCCUAGUUCCAAAUUCUUUUCUUUUUCUUUUGUGGCUAAUGCCAAAUGAAGAAGUCCAAGGAAUGCAGAAAACUUCCUGAAUAGGUUUAUUUCUUUUUUAUUUUAAAGAAAUAUUUUUUUUAUGUAGUUACAUAUCAGAAAGAUCAGAAUAAAGAGCUUUAAAAAUGGAUUAUUAACAACAAAUGUGACUUUCAGCCUCUGAUUUCAAACAGAAGAUGCAGAUGAAUGAUAUCAAAACAGUACUAUUAAAUUCAAGACUAUAUUCUGUGGAUGUCUUUUGAAAGAUUGUUCUUUACAUAUCUUUUUAUAUGACUUCUAAAUGUGAUACUUUUCACACCACAAUACACACAAGCUUGAAUUUGCCUUCCUUCAUACUUAAAUAGAAAGUUCUUGUGUUUCACUAUUCAAUAUAAUAACAUGAGAAGGCAUUGUUCUUUCUUCAUCCCAUGUUUAGGAUAUAAAUAAUGAAUAUUUAAUUCAUGGCAGUACUCAAGAAUCUUGGGUUCAUUUAGAAAAGACUGAAUCUCAUACUGUAUUAAUAUCUGGUGAAUGUGCCUUAUCACAAUGUGUCUGCAUUUUUGUUGUUCGUUUCCUUGUGAUAAGAUUCCUGGGUAGAGCAAGUCUUCGGAAGUAAGCCCACAGGGCUGCCUGACAAGUUUAUUUUGGGAAGGAAAUAAUCAAUUUAGAGCUAUUACUGCAAGAGUCCUUAUCGAGCUCAUUUCCUCAUCUAAUGCUUCACAAGCUAAUAUUACAUGUUUAGUAGCAACUUCAAAGGAACAGAACUGUGCUUUGUAGGUUUUAUUAAUGAGAAAUUUCUCUGAGGGCACCAAAUGUUUGCCAUUAACAUCACUCCAAUCCAUGGACUUGCAAACACAGGUCAUAAAAGCUGUACCAAAAACCUGUGCUGCUGUAGCCCAGGACACUAUUAAUGCAGUUUUGUUAUUAAAUUACAGGGGCUGAGGGAGUAGUAUUGCGCCCAUAGUCUUGAUUUUUUGGUACUCCUUCUCUAUUACAGCUCAGUGUGUUGAAAAUGGUGAUUUAGUCUAAGAGCAAUAUAGUCAAAACAAUGUACUCAGAAUGUCUAGUCCACACCCAGGUAACAAAAGGAGAAUUGUUUUUUUCGUUUGUUUUGUUUUUGUUUGACACACUGAAAUGUAGGCUCUUACUCACACAGAGAAGGAAUUUAGUGUUCUACAGCAGGAUAGCAGAAGAGAAAACGUUUAGGCAUGGCAUGUAAGGCACCUGAAAGAAGGAAAGAAGAGAGAGAGAGACUUCAAGGAGAGAGACUUGAUUGUCCUGAAAAUUCUUAAUUAGAAACAUGAGUGAUUAUCUAUAUCUAUAUCUGCAUAUAAUAUCUAUAUCUGCCAAAUCAAGACAUCUUGGUGCCCAUUUCAAAGCACUGCAGUAUAACUGCUUUUUCACUCUAAAUUUGAGAAUAUUUUCCUUUGUGACAUAUUUGACUAGACUCUUAGAGCAAACUAAUUUUGUUGUCGGCCAACAGUAAACCCCAGUUGGACAGAAGGAGAUGACUGAAUAAAAUGUUAUCUUUAUUUGUCUUAUUUAAUUACCUACAUGAACACAAUUUCUUUUCUGUUUCGAACUACUACUAUUCUGUUCCUUUAGAACCACCUCGGGAGAAUUUUAUUUUCAAUCAUAUGCUGAUUAAACAAGAUCCAAAAAAGUCACAGAAGAGAAGUGCCCAUUCUCAGGGCCAUUUGGGCUGUGUGGAUACUCCCACUGCAAAUGAACUGCAGCUGCACAUGCUAGAACUUGUUCUAAUGGCCAGAGUGAGAAAACCAAAACAUCCCCUGGAAUUUGGCGAGCACUUUAGGAAAAAUAGGAUAAAAAUACGGAAAUUAUAGGAAAAUCAUUAGCAGUUGUUUGGUUAUUUUUCUGUGUCAAUAGACUUUUGUUUAAUAUUUUAGAUAUCUGAGCAGUACUGUAAGAGCCUUUGUUUAGUUUCCUUCACAUUAAAAAUAGCAAGUUGAGUAGCCAACUUUUCCGAGUAGGGUUAUAAAUUAGGAAAAGAAGAAAGAAGAAAAUGAUAUGGAACCUCUAAGUUAAAUAAACCCUCUUAUCCAAUUUAAAGUUCGUAAAGAGAAGAGAUACAUUAUACGGGAGACUUUUUUUUUUUUUGGUUUUACAGUUAGCUAUCAAAAUACCUCUAUAAUUAAUGCUUGCUUAGAACUCAAAACCUUAUUAAAAAAGGAAUAUUUUAGAGGGGAAUCUUUGUUCCAAUUAAAACAAAAAUUGAAAAACCCUAAAUAAAAUCUAUGACAGGAAAUUAAGGAGAGCAAAGUAUUUUUUUUUUUUAUAAAUUAUUAUUUUAAAUUUCCAUACAGUCCUUUGAAGGAGAUAUUUUAGAAUAGUUUUUCUGAAACUCAGAUGCCAUAAAACUCUGGUAUUUUAUGGACCAGGUCAAGUUAUUUUUACUGUAAAAAUUAAGUAAAGGGCAAUUGUUGAGUAGGGAGUAUCAAAAAUGAACUUAAGUGUUUUUUGAUUUUUCAACAACUUUUUUUUUCAUUGCCCUACACUCAAAUUAAACACAAUAUUUGAUUUACUACAGGCAUUCCUUUAGUUGAUUUAAGUUUAAUAAUUAUUUGGUUCAAUAAUUCCACAUUUUAUGGUUUUAUAAAUAGGCUCACAGCAUCCAGGUGCUCUUUCACCUGAAUGCAUCUAGCAAAAGAGUGCAUAUGCCCAUCUCUCAAGCCUAUCUAUUUUGUGGGCUCCAUUAUAUUUUAAUCUUACGGGGCUUACAAAGAAAUAAUAGCCUUAAAUCACAAACCCUCAAAUCCUUUAGAGAAAAGCAAAAAACAAUUUGAAAAAAACCACCACCCAAGAUCUCAGGUUUGAUCCUAAAUGUUCCCCAAUUCUUUCGAAGUUUUUGACAUGUAUUCGAGUUUACUUUAAAUCUUAGUUCGCCACUCAUGAGCUCUUCCUUUCUUAUAUUUUAAAAAACGCACCCAUUUUUAAAGGUGAAGUUAUUUUUGAGAAACUCUUUUCCUCCAAUUUUCUUAUUCCUUUUCUCAUCUUUUUCUCUGGUUUUAUCCCUGAAUCUUUCUUUUAGCGAUAGUAAAAUGCUUAUAACUCUUAUCCUAUCUCUUCACCAAAUGACAGAUUUAUACCCAUCUAGUGCUUCCAUGGGUGCUGGGUACAGAAGAGAUAAUACACAAUUUCCACCAACAAUGGAAAUAACAUAUAUAUUUUUUCAGAAGUGGAUAUGAAGGUCAUUUCCUAGAUUUGUAAAAUGCACCACAGGAGCUAUUAAGCUGCUAUAAAAAUGCUAUUUUUAAGAGAAAAAUAGCCAAAUAUUGCCAGUUUCCUCAGGCUCAUUAAUUAUGUCACUUAUCAGAGAUGAUAUACAGAUUUCCACUGUUUUUCACUUUAACAAAUUCAAAAAAACAUAAACAUCUAUUUUGCAACAAAUAUUCUUAGAACCUUUCCCAUCUAAGCUUCUUGAGAAAACAUGCUAAAUAUAAUUAACACUUUUACUUUAAUAAUGUUUAAUUCCCUGAUGCACCAUUCCACAAUUGCACAUGAUUUUUCUAAAAUUUCAGUUGCUUUCAGUCAUUCACCCAAAUGGAUGGAAAUUCAUAACACCACUUGCUGAUUUUAGCCAAAGUUUAGUACUAAAAACACCUGAGAGAAAAGAUAUAUAUAUAUUUUACAAUGAGAUAAUUGUGAAUGCUUUAGCAUCACAGAUUGGCCUGUCUGAUGAUGCCACAUUUCAGCAACUUAAUGAACAAAAUCCAGUUUUCUCUCAUGUGGUUCUGAUGAGUCACAGGUUCCUUUCUGCCUCUGGAUCAAAACCAUAUUUUGCCAAGAGUCAUAUUAUACCUUCUCUUAUUUGGUAGUAAAUUGCUUCCAGCAAUGUUCUUUUUCCUGAUAACACCUGUACCUAGCUGUUGAGGAAAUAGUUUACAAAACAAUACUUGAAAAAAGACUGUCUCUUUACUUGAAUGGAAGGAAUAUCUCAUCCAAAUUGGAAAGACACUGCUUAUAAAUCCAAACUUACCAACAAUCUCAUCUACAUAUUUAAUUUUUGAUAUAUUAAGGAUUAGUUACUACAGUGAAAAAUUUUUAUGUGCACAGCACAAUUAAAAUUUAGCCCAUGGCUCAAAAUAUCUUAUUUCCAUGUCAUUUAUCACAAUUUAAUCAUGAGUCCAUAUAUUUCCUACACAUGAAGGAAGAAAUAAUUUAAAAUAUUUUUAUAUUGGUAUCCAUAUUUGUAGUGCCAGAUUAUUAUGAAUAACAUCAUCUUUGAGAAUGAUAAAAGUAAUCUGUGAGAGAAUACCAAAUCAUCCAUCUAUCCAUCCAUCCAUCCAUCCAUCCAUCCACCCAUCAAUUGUCCUGUCUACCCAUCAUCCGUCCUCCAUUCUAAUAUUCUUUAUGUGGAGAUAUUUGAGACUAAGGAUUUGGACAGAACACAUCACAUUUUCUGCAGAGCUGAAGAAAAGGCAAGGAGGUUGAUAUUAGACUGGGAAAUGGAGUUUGGAAUAUAAUUCUACAUUGGUCUCUUGAAGGAUGUGGUCAUUAAAACUCAGGAAAGGGGAAACAGAAUAAAACACAUUUGUUGAAAUAAAGCCUACUUAAAAACGAGAAUGACUGCAAUUUUACUUUUACAAACAUGUGAAAUGCAUCACAAAGGCACUCUAUAAUUAUUUCACUCUGGAGAUAGCCAGCAUGCAACACAGAAGCCCUCUGACAUUUGUGUUUGCUUUGCUAGUAGGAAAUAAAACAUCAACAGCUGAGAGAAAAAGAAGAAAUUGUCAGAAGAGAGCAAAUGCCCAAAUCAAGUUCUAUAGAAUUAAAAAAAUACAUAAAAACAAGAAGUUUCUCGGAGUUCCUGUUGUGGCUCAGUGGUUAACAAAUCUGACUUGGAACCAUGAGAUUGUGGGUUCGAUCCCUGGCCUUGCUCAGUGGGUUAAGGAUCUGGUGUUGCCAUGAACUGUGGCAAAGGCGGCUCGGAUCCCGCAUUGCUGUGGCUCUGGUGGAGGCUGGCAGCUGCAGCUCUGAUUAGACCUCUAGCCUGGGAACCUCCAUAUGCC